CAAUAGCGUAUAUUAAAGUUGCUGCAGUUAAAACGCUCGUAGUUGUUGUCCAACUAUACGCCACAUGCCUCAAUUGAAGCUGUGGUUUCAUAGUUUAGCGGGGAAACCUGCCAAAACCUUGAGGAAAGAUUAGUGUUCCAAGCAGUACUUUUUUGACCUCUCCAGCAUGGUAUAUAACCAAUUCGAGGAAGAUUCUUGCCACAUCUUCAUCAUACUAAAUAGAAAUUCAAGGGGGUAUACGUACUUUAAUGUCAGAGGUGAAAUUCCUAGAUUGUUAAGAGACGAACAAAUGCGAAAGCACUCACCAAGCGACUUUUCUUUGAC
rnacentral:rRNA from 1 species